GCAGAACGCGAAGAACCUUACCAGGCCUUGACAUGCAGAGAACUUUCCAGAGAUGGAUUGGUGCCUUCGGGAACUCUGACACAGGUGCUGCAUGGCUGUCGUCAGCUCGUGUCGUGAGAUGUUGGGUUAAGUCCCGUAACGAGCGCAACCCUUGUCCUUAGUUACCAGCACGUUAUGGUGGGCACUCUAAGGAGACUGCCGGUGACAAACCGGAGGAAGGUGGGGAUGGCGUCAAGUCAUCAUGGCCUUUAUGGCCAGGGCUACACACGUGCUACAAUGGCAAGUACAGAGGGAAGCCAACCGGCGACGGGGAGCUAAUCCCAGAAAACUUGUCUUAGUCCGGAUUGCAGUCUGCAACUCGACUGCAUGAAGUUGGAAUCGCUAGUAAUCGCAGAUCAGCAUUGCUGCGGUGAAUACGUUCCCGGGUC
rnacentral:rRNA from 1 species